rnacentral:rRNA from 1 species
AACCCUUAACAACGAAUCUCUCAGUCAUGGCAUCGACCAAGAAUACAGCGAAAUGCGCAGAAUUCGGUGAUUCAUUGAAUCUUUGAACGCAAACUUCGGGAUCCCCUGGUACUUUGGAGGGUAUGCGUGUUCGAUCGUGA